AUUGAACGCUGGCGGCAGGCCUAACACAUGCAAGUCGAGCGGAUGAAGGGAGCUUGCUCCUGGAUUCAGCGGCGGACGGGUGAGUAAUGCCUAGGAAUCUGCCUGGUAGUGGGGGGUAACGUCCGGAAACGGGCGCUAAUACCGCAUACGUCCUGAGGGAGAAAGUGGGGGAUCUUCGGACCUCACGCUAUCAGAUGAGCCUAGGUCGGAUUAGCUAGUUGGUGGGGUAAAGGCCUACCAAGGCGACGAUCCGUAACUGGUCUGAGGGGAUGAUCAGUCACACUGGAACUGAGACACGGUCCAGACUCCUACGGGAGGCAGCAGUGGGGAAUAUUGGACAAUGGGCGAAAGCCUGAUCCAGCCAUGCCGCGUGUGUGAAGAAGGUCUUCGGAUUGUAAAGCACUUUAAGUUGGGAGGAAGGGCAGUAAGUUAAUACCUUGCUGUUUUGACGUUACCAACAGAAUAAGCACUGGCUAACUUCGUG
rnacentral:rRNA from 1 species